GAUGAACGCUGGCGGCGUGCCUAAUACAUGCAAGUAGAACGCUGAAGGAGGAGCUUGCUCUUCUGGAUGAGUUGCGAACGGGUGAGUAACGCGUAGGUAACCUGCCUGGUAGCGGGGGAUAACUAUAGGAAACGAUAGCUAAUACCGCAUGACAACAGUUAUUGCAUGAUAACUGUUUAAAAGGGGCAACUGCUCCACUACCAGAUGGACCUGCGUUGUAUUAGCUAGGUGGUGAGGUAAGGGCUCACCAAGGCGGCGGUACAUAGCCGACUUGAGAGGGGGAUCGGCCACCCUGGGACUGGGACCCGGCCCAGACUCCUACGGGAGGCAGCCGUAGGGAAUCUUCGGCAAUGGACGGAAGUCUGACCGAGCAACGCCGCGUGAGGGAAGAAAGUUUUCGGAUCGUAAAGCUCUGUUGUAAGAGAAGAACGAGUGUGAGGGUAGAAAGUUCACACUGUGACGGUAUCUUACCAGAAAGGGACGGCUAACUACGUG
rnacentral:rRNA from 1 species